AGCAGCCGCCGCGGUAAUACAGAGGGUGCAAGCGUUAAUCGGUAUUACUGGGCGUAAAGCGCGCGUAGGUGGUUUGUUAAGUUGGAUGUGAAAGCCCCGGGCUCAACCUGGGAACUGCAUCCAAAACUGGCAAGCUAGAGUACGGUAGAGGGUGGUGGAAUUUCCUGUGUAGCGGUGAAAUGCGUAGAUAUAGGAAGGAACACCAGUGGCGAAGGCGACCACCUGGACUGAUACUGACACUGAGGUGCGAAAGCGUGGGGAGCAAACAGGAUUAGAUACCCCCGUAGUCCCUGUCUCUUAUAC
rnacentral:rRNA from 1 species